rnacentral:rRNA from 1 species
GCCCCCCGGCCGGGAUAGCCCAGGGAAACCUGGAUUAAUACCGGAUGAGACGGGACCCGCGAUGGGCGGGACCCGGGAAAGGCGCUGCGGCGCCGCCGGGGAUGAGUCUGCGUCCCAUUAGCUAGACGGCGGGGUAACGGCCCACCGUGGCGACGAUGGGUAGCCGGCCUGAGAGGGUGGACGGCCACAUUGGAACUGAGACACGGUCCAGACUCCUACGGGAGCAGCAGCUAAGAAUCGUUCCGCAAUGGGCGAAAGCCUGACGGAGCGACGCCGCCGUGAACGAAGAAGGCCGUGAGGUUGUAAAGUUCUUUCGGGAGGGGGAACAACCGUGGCAGGGAAUGGCCGCGGGAUGACGUGAAUCCCGGAAUAAGCCCCGGCUAACUACGUGCCAGCAGCUGC